rnacentral:rRNA from 1 species
ACGGGAGGCAGCAGUAGGGAAUCUUCCGUAAUGGACGAAAGUCUGACGGAGCAACGCCGCGUGAGUGAUGAAGGUUUUCGGAUCGUAAAGCUCUGUUGUUAGGGAAGAACAAGUGCGAGAGUAACUGCUCGCACCUUGACGGUACCUAACCAGAAAGCCACGGCUAACUACGUGCCAGCAGCCGCGGUAAUACGUAGGUGGCAAGCGUUGUCCGGAAUUAUUGGGCGUAAAGGGCUCGCAGGCGGUUUCUUAAGUCUGAUGUGAAAGCCCCCGGCUCAACCGGGGAGGGUCAUUGGAAACUGGGAAACUUGAAUGCAGAAGAGGAGAGUGGAAUUCCACGUGUAGCGGUGAAAUGCGUAGAGAUGUGGAGGAACACCAGUGGCGAAGGCGACUCUCUGGUCUGUAACUGACGCUGAGGAGCGAAAGCGUGGGGAGCGAACAGGAUUAGAUACCCUGGUAGUCCACGCCGUAAACGAUGAGUGCUAAGUGUUAGGGGGUUUCCGCCCCUUAGUGCUGCAGCUAACGCAUUAAGCACUCCGCCUGGGGAGUACGGUCGCAAGACUGAAACUCAAAGGAAUUGAC